rnacentral:rRNA from 1 species
UGGGGAAUAUGCACAAUGGGCGCAAGCCUGAUGCAGCCAUGCCGCGUGUGUGAAGAAGGCCUUCGGGUUGUAAAGCACUUUCAGCGGAGGAGGAAGGGUGGUGAACUUAAUACGUUCAUCAAUUGACGUUACUCGCAGAAGAAGCACCGGCUAACUCCGUGCCAGCAGCCGCGGUAAUACGGAGGGUGCAAGCGUUAAUCGGAAUUACUGGGCGUAAAGCGCACGCAGGCGGUUUGUUAAGUCAGAUGUGAAAUCCCCGGGCUCAACCUGGGAACUGCAUUUGAAACUGGCAAGCUAGAGUCUCGUAGAGGGGGGUAGAAUUCCAGGUGUAGCGGUGAAAUGCGUAGAGAUCUGGAGGAAUACCGGUGGCGAAGGCGGCCCCUGGACGAAGACUGACGCUCAGGUGCGAAAGCGUGGGGAGCAAACAGGAUUAGAU